GCAUGUGUGCUGAUUUACCUUCUUUAGUCGGAUACCCCUUCACUCUAAAUAAUGACUGAGAUCCCCUAUAUGACACGC
rnacentral:snoRNA from 1 species